ACAAUCUUCUCACCUCCAGUCCCCUUCCAGGGCUCCGCAAGCAAGGUCUUUGGGACCUACGCACUGCUGUUGUGCAGUUCCAGGCUUCUCUUCUGGUCGAAUGCUGGUAACCUUGAGCUUAGAGCCUCUUGACCUAUGGGCAGCCCCUGUGCUCUCCUGCUCUUCUGUCUAACCACAUUCCAGAAGGUCACCAUUACAGUCACUAAGCAGUAACUGAAGCAAAUGCUGGCCAGGUCCAUGGCCCUCCCUCUGUAGCUACUUCUAGUCCCCAUGUUCCUUGCACAUUUUGCAGCAGAUGAGAAGGUAUAGGCAGCUCAGCUCUGGCAAUGUGGGGUGCUAGCCUCAGCUCCCCUGUCCUCCUGUACUAGAAGCCCUCGCCUUGGCCAUCCACUAGGUUACUGCUCCUUCCUUAGCCCUUCUCAAAGCCUUGGGCCUGGGGUAUUUUCUGGGCCUUCAACGCUAUUCUGUUCACACUCAGGGAUUGCUAGGAGUAAGGCCUUUGUCCUCAGAGUGGGUGGCCCCAAGAUGGAACAGGCUCUGUCUCCUUUGUUGAUCUUAAUCUGAUCAUUUGGUGGGCUGAUUCAGCAGCCUGAGAAUCUGAGGGAGACAGGACAGGAGUUCAGAAGAGACUUCUCAGCUUCCAGGAUAAAACCCGGAGGCAGAGGCAGGGGAGGGUAGACUGGGCUCUCGGCACCAGGAUUUUCUUUGAGAUGGGAUUGUGGACACACAAGUGAACAUAUAUAAGCUACCUUAAAAUAGGAUUGGCAGCUCGAUGAUCUGGUACCGCUUGUGACCUUCAGACCCAGAUAGCCCUAAGAACAUGACCUUUCAAGCCAGCCUUAUGGCAGCUUUGGACAUUCUUUUUAAAGCUGGAGAGAAGUUCUUUUGCCCAUCUCUUUGUUUUACCAAAGAAAAUACAGGUCCCAGCAGUUCUAGGGUAUGGGCGGAGCCAUAUGGGGUGGGGUACAGCUGAUCUCCUUUGGUAAAGCCCUAUACUGAGACAGUUCUGCCUGCAAAAGCAACUGAUCCCCAGUACCCUUGAAGGUGUCUACUGCUGACCCCUACCCUGCUCCUGGACCCUGGAGACUUCCUUGUGCCCUGAAAUGAAAUCCCACUAAGGCCGCUAUGCCGUGCUGGGAAGGGAGAUGCAGGUUCCGUGCAGACUUCCUUUCUUCCAGGCAUUGUUGGGUGAUGUUUUACUUAAGGAAUAACUCACUCCUGAAAUAAAGAGGGACAGUGACAGCCAGCCCAGCCAGGUCUGACUCACAGUGGUAGCCACAUCCAGCUUCCCCCACCCAGCUGACCACCACGGGCUCCUCUUCCAACCUCUUCAGAGAACUUGGAGGCCGCGGCCUUUCCCUUGGCCCUGGGUGUGGGUCUUUUCAAGACUCUGUGUUUUGUGAUGUCAUAGCCUAACCAUGUGAGAGGUGCUCAGGCAACUACAGCAGCCUGAGAAAAGGGGAUGCUAGGACACACUGGUUUUGAAAAGUAAACACGUGGCAUAGUUUCCUGGGGUGGGACAACAGGGCUUGCCAUAGUCCCCAGUUGUCCUCCAGGCCCCUUCUGUUUUCAGGCCUUUGUGUGCUGUAUGGUAAACAUAGUUCAUUUCCUCAUUUUUAAAUGGUCAGACUGAAUCCCAGGUAACUUACUUGUCACAUAGGCUGGUAAUGGAAGAGCCAGGUUUCCAAAUCAGGUAAACUGUCACUGUUAUCUCAGGACCAUCAGUGUGCUGGACAUGCUGUGGAAAGUAAACUACAAAGAGGCCCAUUGACAGGUGAGGACAAGGAUAGGAAUUUACUCAAGAUCACACAGCAGUGUAGUCAGUGGCAAGACUAGGGGUUCAAGGCUCAUCAGAGCAUGUUUCCUGCUAUCUUUGUGCCGUGCUGGUAACAAGCCCCAAAAGAACUGGUAGUUGCAGUCAUUCAAGAUGGCCAGGGCAAGAGCUCUCCGAAAGGCUGGUUUCUACAAAGCUCAAUACCAAGCCAAGGAGGGGCCACAUCUAGUCUUGUCUAGAACAAAACUGUAUAAAUUAACAGAGCCAAGGAAUUUCUGACACGGUUUUUAAUUAGAUUUUGUCCUGUUGGUGAUGAGAAGCAGGCAAGGGGCUGUGCUAAGGAGAUGGAAUCUGCUGAUUGGUGAGCUCUAAAGGAAACCUGGCUUCCCACUACCACACAUGCAAACACACAUACAGACACCUUCACACACUUAACCACAUACACACCACACAUAUACACACUAUAUGCACAUUCAUACACAUACACUCACAUACCAUACAUACACAUGUGUGCACUCACACAUAACUUGGGUUGUAUUUUUCUGGGCAACAGGUACUUCAUAGAAGGAGGGGUCUGGAUUGAAUAGAAGAGACCUCACAGCACCUCCCAGAACUGGAAGUCACUUUGACCUGCAGUCACACUAAUCAACCCUGGAACCCCCAAAUCGGCAGUAUUUUCUCUCAUUAUAGGUUAUGAAGUUGAGCGAUUUGGGAUUUGGUCAGGGUUGGGUAUCUGGCAUAUGGAGGUGAGAUCGGAACUAGGUCUCUUUAAACCAAAGCCCCCAGCUAACUGUUGAAAUAGUCAUUUUUUUCUCUUGGUUUGAGACAAUAGGAAGCUCAAAGACAAGUUUGAGAUCAUUUUAAACACUUGUAUUGAGUUUAACCAGCUUCAUUUUAGCUUUGUGCACGUACCUUUACCCUGAUUUAUUUUUAUUCUACUGUUUUUUUUAUAUAUUUUUGUAAGGUGCCAUACAAUCUUUUUGCAACAGGGUAGCAUAUACAUAAAUAAAACCCAUGGCU
rnacentral:lncRNA from 1 species